rnacentral:lncRNA from 1 species
CGGGAUGGAGAUGGCGUUGGUCGAGUUGAGUAGGAGGCAUGGCAGAGGCCAGACACGCGUCAACAUCGAGGAGGUCGCGCGGCGACCAAGAAGAGAUGGACGGUUUUGAUGGUUUGGGCCUCAAAACCACCGCGCAGACAGAUUUCCCGGUUUGGGCCUCAAAACCAGGGGCAAGCCUGGUGCGACCAGAGCUUUGAGAAGGAGGGCACAUGGCAUCAUCGCGAAACUUGCAUCAAGGCAAAGCAAAGUAGUGAAGGUGGCGUGUCCGUCCGAUGCGCUGAUAAAAAUCUGGACCAAAAUUCCCCUGCGUGGGCGGUUAUCUUAGUUGUAGCUCUAGCGAUAGUUUAGUCAUCUGCCAUGGACUAUAUAUAUGGGUGGAUGGCUGGUUGUUUCAGGACCUCUUGAAAAAACCCUAAUUCAUUAGCCUAGAGGCUAGCCAAGUGCUUAGAGAGAGAAAGGAGAGAGGGAGGUGAGAGGGUAAUUGCUCUUUUCUCUUGAUUUCUUCCUUCUAGUGGGUGGAUGAAGGGAGGAGGCUAGUCCUCAUCUUUUAGAGAUGUUGUCCUCAUGAUUUAGUUGAAUUUGUGAUUCAAAUCAAUGGCUAAAUCCUUUGUUUCUCUCGUUUUUCUUUUUCGGUAUUUUUGGAGCCAUUUUUGGGGAUUUUUUGUUCUUCGUGUUUGAGCUUAAAUCCCAUGAGGUUUGUUGCGUGAAAUUUCUGAUAGGACCCUUGUGAGCAUCUUUGAUGUGUUACCCCCUUAAAUCCCUAAGUAUUCGGCUUGAAUUUGAAGUUUUCCCAAAAUUCUCUCUCUUGUGUUCUUGACCGAAUUCUGUGAAAUCCAUAGAGAAGUAUCAAUCCUUUUUGAG